rnacentral:rRNA from 1 species
AUUGAACGCUGGCGGCAGGCUUAACACAUGCAAGUCGAGCGGAGAGAGGUAGCUUGCUACUGAUCUUAGCGGCGGACGGGUGCGUAAUGCUUAGGAAUCUGCCUAUUAGUGGGGGACAACAUUUCGAAAGGAAUGCUAAUACCGCAUACGUCCUAAGGGAGAAAGCAGGGGAUCUUCGGACCUUGCGCUAAUAGAUGAGCCUAAGUCGGUUUAGCUAGUUGGCGGGGUAAAGGCCUACAAAGGCGACGAUCUGUAGCGGGUCUGAGAGGAUGAUCCGCCACACUGGGACUGAGAAACGGCCCAGCCUCCUGCGGGAGGCAGCAGUGGGGAAUAUUGGAAAAUGGGCGGAAGCCUGAUCCAGCCAUGCCGCGUGUGUGAAGAAGGCCUUAUGGUUGUAAAGCACUUUAAGCGAGGAGGAGGCUACUUAGAUUAAUACUCUAGGAUAGUGGACGUUACUCGCAGAAUAAGCACCGGCUAACUCUGUGCCAGCAGCCGCCGUAA